rnacentral:lncRNA from 1 species
GGUCUUGUACCCAAUCCAACCCGAAUAAUUCAAUCUGAAUAAAAAUUAAUUAGGCAGGUUUCAUGUACCCAAUGAAUGUAAUAUUUUUUUUAUGAGAUGCAUCCGGGAUUUUGCAUAAAUUUUUAAUUGAAUUAGGAAUGAUUCAGCUGAUAGAAUUUUAAAUAGGUUGAGAUACAAAUAGAACAAAUUUUGUGAGCAUUCUAUCUAUUGCCAUUCCUAUCAAUAUAGGUAUGUGUUUAGUCUACAUCGGUUAUAUAUUGGGUUGAUAAGGAUCCAAAUAAUUCUUUUCAACUAGCAUUUUAGGACAAGAUUUUAAGUUGUUACAAGUAGCAU